CAAUAGCGUAUAUUAAAGUUGUUGCAGUUAAAAAGCUCGUAGUUGGAUUUCUGGUAGGAGCGACCGUGCCGAACUUGAUUGUUCGAGUAUUGUGUUGUCUUCAGCCAUCCUCGUGGAGAACUUUUCUAACAUUAACUUGUUGGGAUUGGGACCCGCGUCGUUUACUGUGAAAAAAUUAGAGUGUUUAAAGCAGGCAUUAGCUUGAAUACAUUAGCAUGGAAUAAUAAGAUAGGACUUUGGUACUAUUUUGUUGGUUUGCAUACCAAAUUAAUGAUCAACAGGAACAGUUUGAGGAUAUUCGUAUGAACAUGUCAGAGGUGAAAUUCUUGGAUUUUGAUCAGACGAACUACUGCGAAAGCAUUUAUCGAGGAUGUUUUCAUUAA
rnacentral:rRNA from 1 species